rnacentral:rRNA from 1 species
ACGCACGCUGGCGGCGUGCCUAAUACCUGCCAGUCGAACGAGAGCGACCGGUGCUUGCACUGGUCAAUCUAGUGGCGAACGGGUGAGUAACACGUGGGUAACCUGCCCAUCAGAGGGGGAUAACAUCCGGAAACGGAUGCUAAAACCGCAUAGGUCUUCGAACCGCAUGGUUUGAAGAGGAAAAGAGGCGCAAGCUUCUGCUGAUGGAUGGACCCGCGGUGCAUUAGCUAGUUGGUGAGGUAACGGCUCACCAAGGCCGUGAUGCAUAGCCGACCUGAGAGGGUGAUCGGCCACAUUGGGACUGAGACACGGCCCAAACUCCUACGGGAGGCAGCAGUAGGGAAUCUUCCGCAAUGGACGCAAGUCUGACGGAGCAACGCCGCGUGAGUGAAGAAGGUUUUCGGAUCGUAAAACUCUGUUGUUAGUGAAGAACAAGUGCUAGAGUAACUGUUAGCGCCUUGACGGUAUCUAACCAGAAAGCCACGGCUAACUACGUG